UGGAAGAAGGGAGCUGCUAGGAUGUAGCGUUACAAAGGCACAUUUCAUUGAUUCAAUUAGAAAAAAGUGGUGAGGUGUGUCACGGUCCAAAGGAAAAGAAAGCACACAACUCUACUUUACUCUUUGCUUAUGGAAGAAGACGAAUUCCACUUUGUUUUCAAUGCAAGCAGCACACGUAAGACGUACAGCAAAAAGGUAAAAGGGCAGAAUUCAAUUAGAAUAUGCCAUGGCCCAGAAGCAACUUGCGCGGAUUCAUUUCUUUAAGAAAAAUGCACCCACUUUGUUGGAGCGAUGCUGGAAUGAAGCAUACAGCUCACGUUACAGCAUGACAGAAUUUUUUGAGAAGCGCAAUUCAU
rnacentral:lncRNA from 1 species